UCAGGUAUAGCAGCGGCU
rnacentral:misc_RNA from 1 species